rnacentral:rRNA from 1 species
UACCAGCACCCCGAGUGGUCGGGACGAUUAUUGGGCCUAAAGCAUCCGUAGCCGGCCUUUACAAGUCCCCCGUUAAAUCCAACUGCUUAACAGAUGGGCUGCGGAGGAUACUAUAAGACUAGGAGGCAGGAGAGGCAAGCGGUACUCAGUGGGUAGGGGUAAAAUCCGUUGAUCCAUUGAAGACCACCAGUGGCGAAGGCGGCUUGCCAGAAUGCGCUCGACGGUGAGGGAUGAAAGCUGGGGGGAGCAAACCGG